GUGUUGCCUAGGGUAGCUCCCGAACGCCGUCACUCUAACGGCUGGCAACACUUCCCUUUAGAGG
rnacentral:sRNA from 1 species